rnacentral:rRNA from 1 species
GACGAACGCUGGCGGCGUGCUUAACACAUGCAAGUCGAACGGAACGGCCCUGCUUUUGUGGGGUGCUCGAGUGGCGAACGGGUGAGUAACACGUGAGUAACCUGCCCUUGACUUUGGGAUAACUUCAGGAAACUGGGGCUAAUACCGGAUAGGAGCUCCUGCUGCAUGGUGGGGGUUGGAAAGUUUCGGCGGUUGGGGAUGGACUCGCGGCUUAUCAGCUUGUUGGUGGGGUAGUGGCUUACCAAGGCUUUGACGGGUAGCCGGCCUGAGGGGUGACCGGCCACAUGGGGACUGAGAUACGGCCCAGACUCCUACGGGAGGCAGCAGUGGGGAAUAUUGCACAAGGGGCGGAAGCCUGAUGCAGCAACGCCGCGUGCGGGAUGACGGCCUUCGGGUUGUAAACCGCUUUCGCCUGUGACGAAGCGUGGGUGACGGUAAUGGGUAAAGAAGCACCGGCUAACUACGU